rnacentral:piRNA from 1 species
UCUGUUGGAGCUUAUGGCCUUCCAGUAGC